CCUAACCCUAACCAUCACCUUUUUCCCCAGCCGCCCCCCCCAACACACACACUCAUCCCUUCACCAUACACACACACAUGAAAAAAAAGGAAAGAAAAGAGAGAGGGGGGGGAGGUGGAGGGGGGAAGAAGGAGAAGGUACGAGAGGGAAAAAAGGGGAGACGACACCAGUGGAUGUCACUGCCACUAUCGCCGCCGUCGUGUCGCCGCCGGGAGAGUCAUAACGCGAGGAGAGAGAGAGAGAGGCGAACUUACGAGGGAGAGAGGAAGUAGGGUUGCCGCCACUGAAAAGGAGCCUGGCUGCCCUCAUCACUGCCAGCUCCGUCGCCGUCGUCACUAUUGGAGCUGCACGAAACCGUCAUCGCCGUCGUCACCAUCGAUGCUUGCCCUCGUCGUUUGUGGGUGUCACCUCUUCUGCUUCUAUUGUCACGCCGUUGUCUGCCCCUCUGGAUGUCGCUCCUUUUAAAUCGCGCCUUAUCAUUAAUUCUCUGCCUCCUCGUUGUGGCCCAACCUCUAAUUAGGCCAUGGCAAAUCAGAUUGAGCAGAUGGGGCUGACUAUAGAAAAUCAUCAGAAGGCUGGACAAAGCAAAUAUACAUUGGAAGACAUGCAUUGCGUGAUCAAUAUAGGGCCACUGCCAGUUAUUAAAGGAGUUGGGAUAUUAAAGCUGGUGUUCGGAGUGUUAAAAUGGUGACAACAUGCUACCUAAAUGACUCAAGAAUAUUUUGAUUCAUAGAGAUACUAGUCUGUGUUAGACUUUUAACUUUUGGUUGAAUUUGUGAAAGAAAUAUAACUUGUGGAACUAAUCAAUGGAGAUACUAAUGUUAUUUUGUUUUAAAAUAAUCUUAGUUAAAUGAAGCAUUUUUGAAUUA